CCCCUCUCAGGGUCAUACCUGGCGAGUGUCCAGUACUCUACCAGUCUCGACAAAGGAGGGAGAGUCAAGCAGAGGCAUACCCAUUCCAUUCCUAGCUUGGGCAGUGGCUAACAAGUGGAAGGCAAUCUGCUACAAGU